GCCAGCAGUCAUAUCACCCUGCACCCCAAGACUGGUUGCCCACUGAAGCUAAGCAGGGUUGAGCCUGGUCAGUACCUGGAUGGGAGACCUCUUGGGACAACUAGGUUGCUGCUGGAA
ensembl:rRNA 5S_rRNA 5S ribosomal RNA